rnacentral:rRNA from 1 species
CCUACGGGAGGCAGCAGUGGGGAAUAUUGGACAAUGGGCGCAAGCCUGAUCCAGCAAUGCCGCGUGGAUGAAGAAGGUCUUCGGAUUGUAAAGUCCUUUCGGCGGGGACGAUGAUGACGGUACCCGCAGAAGAAGCCCCGGCUAACUUCGUGCCAGCAGCCGCGGUAAUACGAAGGGGGCUAGCGUUGCUCGGAAUGACUGGGCGUAAAGGGCGCGUAGGCGGUUUGGUCAGUUAGACGUGAAAUUCCUGGGCUCAACCUGGGGACUGCGUUUAAGACGGCCAGGCUUGAGUGUGAAAGAGGGUCGUGGAAUUCCCAGUGUAGAGGUGAAAUUCGUAGAUAUUGGGAAGAACACCGGUGGCGAAGGCGGCGACUUGGUUCAUUACUGACGCUGAGGCGCGAAAGCGUGGGGAGCAAACAGGAUUAGAUACCCUGGUAGUCCACGCCGUAAACGAUGUGUGCUGGAUGUUGGGUGACCUAGUCACUCAGUGUCGUAGCUAACGCGAUAAGCACACCGCCUGGGGAGUACGGCCGCAAGGUUGAAACUUAAGAAUUAGAGNGNGNGAGNGCGACGACGACGACGAGGAGAG